rnacentral:rRNA from 1 species
AGUGAACGCUGGCGGUAGGCCUAACACAUGCAAGUCGAACGGCAGCACAGUAAGAGCUUGCUCUUACGGGUGGCGAGUGGCGGACGGGUGAGGAAUACAUCGGAAUCUACUUUUUCGUGGGGGAUAACGUAGGGAAACUUACGCUAAUACCGCAUACGGCCUACGGGUGAAAGCAGGGGAUCUUCGGACCUUGCGCGAUUGAAUGAGCCGAUGUCGGAUUAGCUAGUUGGCGGGGUAAAGGCCCACCAAGGCGACGAUCCGUAGCUGGUCUGAGAGGAUGAUCAGCCACACUGGAACUGAGACACGGUCCAGACUCCUACGGGAGGCAGUAGUGGGGAAUAUUGGACAAUGGGCGCAAGCCUGAUCCAGCCAUACCGCGUGGGUGAAGAAGGCCUUCGGGUUGUAAAGCCCUUUUGUUGGGAAAGAAAAGCAGCAGGUUAAUACCCCGCUGUUCUGACGGUACCCAAAGAAUAAGCACCGGCUAACUUCGUG